UCAGAGGUGAAAGGCUCGGCUCAACCGUAGUAAGCCUUGAAACUGGGAAACUUGAGUGCAGGAGAGGAGAGUGGAAUCCUAGUGUAGCGGUGAAAUGCGUAGAUAUUAGGAGGAACACCAGUUGCGAAGGCGGCUCCUGGACUGUAACUGACACUGAGGCACGAAAGCGUGGGGAGCAAACAGGAUUAGAUACCCUGUAGUCCACGCCGUAAACGAUGAGUACUAGCUGUCGGAGGUUACCCCCUUCGGUGGCGCACUAACGCAUUAAGUACUCCGCCUGGGAAGUACGCUCGCAAGAGUGAAACUCAAAGGAAUUACGGGGACCCGCACAAGUAGCGGAGCAUGUGGUUUAAUUCGAAGCAACGCGAAGAACCUUCCUAAGCUUGACAUCCCAAUGACCUCUCCCUAAUCGGAGAUUUCCCUUCGGGGACAUUGGGACAGGUGGUGCAUGGUUGUCGUCAGCUCGUGUCGUGAGAUGUUGGGUUAAGUCCCGCAAGAGCGCAACCCUUGCCUUUAGUUGCCAGCAUUAAGUUGGGCACUCUAGAGGGACUGCCAGGAUAACCUGGAGGAAGGUGGGGAUGACGUCAAAUCAUCAUGCCCCUUAUGCUUAGGGCUAACACGUGCUACAAUGGGUGGUACAGAGGGCAGCCAAGUCGUGAGGCGGAGCUAAUCCCUUAAGCCAUUCUCAGUUCGGAUUGUAGGCUGAAACUCGCCUACAUGAAGCUGGAGUUACUAGAAUCGCAGAUCAGAAUGCUGCGGUGAAUGCGUUCCCGGGUCUUGCACACACCGCCCGUAA
rnacentral:rRNA from 1 species